CCCAAAGUACUGCAUGUGGAAAAAGUGUCAGGUUUUUGUAGUUUUGCAUGUGUCCACCAAGCACUUCUGAGGACUAUUUGUUUAAUGAAUAAACGGCUAUUGUGCCAACACAUUGUGUGUGUUUACAAUGUGUGAAGUUUGCAGUAGCAAAUCUUGCCAUAGGGUGGGUCUGUUUCAUUGUUGGAUUCACUCCUCCCAUUCCGCUAGGGGGCUCUGUAGUUGUUUUGCAUUGGUUGUGGAGGGGAAGUGAAACAAGAGAAGAAACUUACGGCAGGCCAGUAAUGCACCGAGACUGCCGUUAGCUGAAGCUAACAAGCUGAAGCUACAAUAAAAUCAUAUUCUACUGGCGUUCAUGAGUGUUGCCCAACGUGUUUAACCGGACGGCACGUCCGUGUAAAAGCACUCGACAAUAAAAAUAAACAACAAC